AGGUCUAUCGCCAAGCGGUAAGGCAACGGGUUUUGAUCCCNNUUUGAUCCCGUCAUCCCAUGGUUCGAAUCCAUGUAGACCUGCCA
rnacentral:tRNA from 1 species